AUCAAUGGAAGGUAGACCCUCUAUCCUCUUAAUCUUUAGAGUAGAUAUUAUAUAUAGGAUAAUCAGUCCACUGCGGUGCCGAGGACAAAGCAAGAUGAAUAGGAAUGUUGAAGGGACAUAAGGCUCUGCUAAGGUAAGGAAAGACGCUGACCAUCUAGGUCACCAAGUACUCUUAUUUUUUAGGGAGUCGGAGACGAUCGAAGAGGCAGCAAAAUAGGAACUUUCGAUCAGGGAGAGCUCAACAAGGUCGAGACCAAGAUGAUGGAUAUUCCAAGGAAGAUCGAAGAAGAUGAAUGAAGGUUUAUACCUACCCCUAACUGGCACUAUGAAUCCAAUCCCAUCUACAUAGAUGUUCCUAGCCACGAGAUGAGGGGGUUCUCUCUUACUGUUAAGCCGUCUUCAACUCUUCUUUACUCCUUUCCGCAUCGACGCUGAUAAUUGGAUAGAAUCUCCUUAAAUAAAGAAAGGGGGCGUAUAAAUUGGGUUUUUGGCUCGCAAUAAAGCUAGGGUCCUGAUCGAGCAACUAGUAGUCCUAUCUAUCCACCUCUCCAGACACAAUAUCUUGAGUACCUAUGAUGGUGACCACAUCUGCUGGCAUGUGAUGUUUGGACAUAGAAUCGAGUCCUUGUGAAUGAGCAAAGCCAGGUGCUCUUAUUUUACGACAGUAGGGACGAUUUCUUCCAUUACUGACCAGAAAGACACCAAAUUCUCCUUUAGGUGCUUCAACUGCGGUAUAGGUAGAAGGAGCUGGUAUGGAAAAACCUUCUGUAUAAGGUUUGAAAUGGUGAAUUGAGGUAGAUUAGAUCGAUGAUCCUGUAGUCAUUUGGCCGGCUAUUGAAAGAAAAAGCUUGCAUUUGCUUCCCCUAUUAUAUAACCGGUCCCAUCUCUCUCCAAACCUAACGUGGUAGCUUCCCAUCAUAGGGCUUUUUAUCUAUAGAUUAAGCCAUUACCAAGGAGCUAAUUCGUUCAAAGCUCAGUUGACUGCUUCUACAGAGAAGGCAGAGCGUCCUUGGCUCAGCAUAAUAACACAUAGGCGCUUUGCUAACUCGAAGCGCCUCGCUAUGAGAAUCUAGCUUAGCUAACGCUCGGCUAAGUCUUGAACCUUCGCACUGACCGUUCGCUUUCUCAGUAGCAAAAGCGCUUCUCUUUGCCCCUUAACCUUAAGUAGAAGGACAAGAAAGAGAUUAUUGGUUUUCUUGCUCCCGCUUCCUCAUCUGCGCUCAUCAAGCCAACUUUGCUCUUUGGGAGGUGAAACAGCGGUUGAAGCGGACAUUUCGAAAUGACAGCAUCGAAGAUAUAUUUCUAUAUAACCUUUGCUCUUUGGGAGGUGAAACAACGGUUGAAGCGGACAUUUCGAAAUGACAGCAUCGAAUAUUUCUAUAUAUACACAGUUACGGUUAUCUCGGACUGCGUUCCGGAAAAAGCAGCCUACUUGUGGGGCACUGUGUACUUACAGCCUCUACGAUAAGCAAGUGAAUGUGGCCGGUGCGUGGCGAACGGUUCAUCAAGCCAUUUUUCGCCUCAACUCCCUAAAUAGGAAGAGGGGUAGUUUACAAAUUGGGGUAAUCAAUUCGCACCUGACUGUGAUAAUGAAUGUGGCCGGUGCGUGGCGAAUGGUUCAUCAAGCCAUUUUUCGCCUCAACUCCCUAAAUAGGAAGAGGGGUAGUUUAUAAAUUGGGGUAAUCAAUUCGCACCUGGCUGUGAUAGCCCUCUCGAUACCUUAUUGGAGCUUUGUAACUAGUGGCCGAUUUCCCGUCGCGUCAGCCUUUUCCCAGUGCGCGGAGCCCCAACGAGGAAGGUGUUAGUGCUUUAUCAUUGGGUCAAUAAUGCUAAUCCCUCUUUUUGUGCUACUCCUAGGGCGGGAAGAAGAUAAGAAAACGCGAAGCGUUCUCUUGCUUUCCCAACCUGUUGUUUCUAAAGACUGCCCUCUCUCGGCUGGAUCUUGGUCCAGCCUACUACGAGGAUCCCGUAUCCAGCAACCCCGCCUUUUCCCAGUGCGUGGAGCCCCAACGAGGAAGGUGUUAAUGCUUUAUCAUUGGGUCAAUAAUGCUAAUCCCUUUUUUUGUGCUACUCCAAGGGCGGGAAGAAGAUAAGAAAACGCGAAGCGUUCUCUUGCUUUCCCAACCUGUUGUUUCUAAAGACUGCCCUCUCUCGGCUGGAUCUUGGUCCAGCCUACUACGAGGAUCCCGUAUCCAGCAACCCAACCUAUACAAAGGGCAUCAAAGCCCCUUGACUAGGUUGGAGCUAUAAAGCUUACCUUAUAUUAUUAAAAAGGGAAAGGGCCUUUUCAGCUGGUGCUGGCUGGAUUUUGGUCCAGCCUACUACGAGGAUCCCGUAUCCAGCAACCUAACCUACACAAAGGGCAUCAAAGCCCUUUGACUAGGUUGGAGCUAUAAAGCUUACCUUAUAUUAUUAAAAAGGGAAAGGGCCUUUUUCAGCUGGUGCACAUGAGCGCACUUCCAUUUUCAUUUUACUAGUAGGGGGUCCCGUGGUUCCCAUG
rnacentral:lncRNA from 1 species